GUGCUGGAUUCGGCAGUACAUAGACUAAAGUUGGAACGAUACAGUAAAUAUUAGCAUGGUCCCUGCACAAGGAUGACAUGCAAAAUUGUGAAGCAUUCCAUAUUUUU